UACGUAGGGCGCAGGCGUUGUCCGGAAUUAUUGGGCGUAAAGAGCUCGUAGGCGGCCUGUUACGUCUGCUGUGAAAUCCCGGGGCUUAACCCCGGGCGUGCAGUGGAUACGGGCAGGCUGGAGGCAGGCAGGGGAGAACGGAAUUCCCGGUGUAGCGGUGAAAUGCGCAGAGUAUCGGGAGGAACACCGGUGGCGAAGGCGGUUCUCUGGGCCUUACCUGACGCUGAGGAGCGAAAGCGUGGGGAGCGAACAGG
rnacentral:rRNA from 1 species